AGCGAACGCUGGCGGCAGGCUUAACACAUGCAAGUCGAGCGGGCAUCCUUGUGGUGUCCGCGGCAGACGGGUGAGUAACGCGUGGGAACGUGCCCUUCGGUUCGGAAUAACUCAGGGAAACUUGAGCUAAUACCGGAUACGUGCGAGAGCAGAAAGGUUUAUCUGCCGAAGGAUCGGCCCGCGUCUGAUUAGCUAGUUGGUGAGGUUAUGGCUCACCAAGGCGACGAUCAGUAGCUGGUCUGAGAGGAUGAUCAGCCACACUGGGCAUGAGACACGGCCCAGAAUCCUACGGGAGGCAGCAGUGGGGAAUAUUGGACAAUGGGGGCAACCCUGAUACAGCCAUGCCGCGGGAGUGAUGACGGCCUUAGGGUUGUAAAGCUCUUUUCUCCGGGACGAUAAUGACGGUACCGGAGGAAUAAGCCCCGGCUAACUUCGUG
rnacentral:rRNA from 1 species